rnacentral:misc_RNA from 1 species
AGAAACCAAAAGAAAAAUAAAAGAAUUGUUUGUGUGUCUAUCCGAGUUGGACUCUCGUUGUUCCACCUCACACACAGGUACAUCUUGCUUUUAAAUGAGCACUUGAUCUUCUGAAGUAAUCAAACAAACGCUGACACUUGACUAUUGAUUCGACACCUAAUGGGAGCUGGGGAAGAGAGCACCCCUGCAAAGCCUUCGAAAGUUACUUCGACUCAGGAAACACAAGCAACACCUUCAUAUCCUGAUUGGUCUUCUAUGCAGGCUUAUUAUGGUGCU